rnacentral:rRNA from 1 species
AGUGAACGCUGGCGGUAGGCCUAACACAUGCAAGUCGAACGGCAGCACAGUAAGAGCUUGCUCUUACGGGUGGCGAGUGGCGGACGGGUGAGGAAUACAUCGGAAUCUACUUUUUCGUGGGGGAUAACGUAGGGAAACUUACGCUAAUACCGCAUACGACCUACGGGUGAAAGCAGGGGAUCUUCGGACCUUUCGCGAUUGAAUGAGCCGAUUUCGGAUUAGCUAGUUGGCGGGGUAAAGGCCCACCAAGGCGACGAUCCGUAGCUGGUCUGAGAGGAUGAUCAGCCACACUGGAACUGAGACACGGUCCAGACUCCUACGGGAGGCAGCAGUGGGGAAUAUUGGACAAUGGGCGCAAGCCUGAUCCAGCCAUACCGCGUGGGUGAAGAAGGCCUUCGGGUUGUAAAGUCCUUUUGUUGGGAAAGAAAAGCAGCAGGUUAAUACCCCGCUGUUCUGACGGUACCCAAAGAAUAAGCACCGGCUAACUUCGUG